AUUGAACGCUGGCGGCAUGCCUUACACAUGCAAGUCGAACGGUAGCGCGGGGUAACCUGGCGACGAGUGGCGAACGGGUGAGUAAUGCAUCGGAACGUGCCCUGGAAUGGGGGAUAACGUAGCGAAAGUUACGCUAAUACCGCAUAUUCUGUGAGCAGGAAAGCAGGGGAUCGCAAGACCUUGCGUUCUGGGAGCGGCCGAUGUCGGAUUAGCUAGUUGGUGAGGUAAAAGGCUCACCAAGGCGACGAUCCGUAGCGGGUCUGAGAGGAUGAUCCGCCACACUGGGACUGAGACACGGCCCAGACUCCUACGGGAGGCAGCAGUGGGGAAUUUUGGACAAUGGGCGCAAGCCUGAUCCAGCCAUGCCGCGUGAGUGAAGAAGGCCUUC
rnacentral:rRNA from 1 species